rnacentral:lncRNA from 1 species
UACUUCAGGCAAAAUCAUACGUGGCCCAAGUUCAACUCACCAAGAUGCGUUCUUCCAAUUGUAAAACACACAGCAUGCUUUCAAACACUGAAAUGGAUAGCAAAGCACUAGAAUCUCACAUAGGUAAAUAUCCCACAAGAAGAAACUUACUCUAGGCCAAGAACAUUCCACCGAGUUCCCUCGUUAAAGAGGCUGUCAGGGCUGGCAGUCAAAUCAAUAUCUGCAGAAGGCAGGUAAGGACUCACACUGACACACAGGCUGCAUCCUGGGCCUCCUUUCAGUUUGCAAAAGCCUCUCGUCACUCAAUCAUUUAUUGCCAACGAAACAAACAGGUGAUUUCUCUAACAACGUGAUUAGAUCUUUUUAACAACAACUUUUAAAAACAAGCAGCCAGGGGACUAAGGACUUUCCAGAAUACUGCCAUUUCUUUUGUAAAUCAAAAUAAGAAAAGAGAAAUCUGGCAUUAUACUU